rnacentral:RNase_P_RNA from 1 species
UGAGCCGGCUGGACGGCCGCGCCGGGCGCUCUUGCACCUGGCGAGGAAAGUCCGGGCUCCGCAGAGCGGGGUGGUGGGUAACACCCACCCGGGGUGACCCGCGGGAAAGUGCCACAGAGAAUAGACCGCCGCGGUCUUGGGGAACGCGUUCCUUUCUCUCGCGUUCGUUAGGGGAGCGGUAAGGGUGAAACGGUGGUGUAAGAGACCACCAGCGUUCGGGGCGACCUGGGCGGCUUGGUAAACCCCACCCGGAGCAAGGCCAGACAGGUGGCGUUUGAGGGCUGCUCGCCCGAGCCGCCGGGUAGGCCGCUUGAGGCUCACGGCAACGUGGGUCCCAGAUGGAUGGCCGUCUUCGAUGACAGAACCCGGCUUACAGGCCGGCUCAUCCC